CAGCCGCCGCGGGAAAACGUAGGUGGCAAGCGUUGUCCGGAAUUAUUGGGCGUAAAGCGCGCGCAGGCGGAUAGGUCAGUCUGUCUUAAAAGUUCGGGGCUUAACCCCGUGAUGGGAUGGAAACUGCCAAUCUAGAGUAUCGAAGAGGAAAGUGGAAUUCCUAGUGUAGCGGUGAAAUGCGUAGAUAUUAGGAAGAACACCAGUGGCGAAGGCGACUUUCUGGACGAAAACUGACGCUGAGGCGCGAAAGCCAGGGGAGCGAACGGGAUUAGAUACCCCAGUAGUCCCUGUCUCUUAUACA
rnacentral:rRNA from 1 species